AUUGAACGCUGGCGGCAGGCCUAACACAUGCAAGUCGAGCGAGCGGCGGACGGGUGAGUAAUGUAUGGGGACUGCCCGAUAGAGGGGGAUAACUACUGGAAACGGUUGCUAAUAACGCAUAACAUCGGAUAACCCAUAUGGGAUUAGCUAGUAGGGGGGGUAAAGGCGCACCUAGGCGACGAUCUCUAGCUGGUCUGAGAGGAUGAUCAGCCACACUGGAACUUAGACACGGGCCAGACUCCUACGGAGGCAGCAGUGGGGAAUAUUGCACAAUGGGCGCAAGCCUGAUGCAGCCAUGCCGCGUGUAUGAAGAAGGCCUUAGGGUUGUAAAGUACUUUAAGCUGGGAGGCGGUACCCGCAGAAGAAGCACCGGCUAACUCCGUGCCAGCAGCCGCGGUAAUUC
rnacentral:rRNA from 1 species